rnacentral:misc_RNA from 1 species
CUGCCCUCAAGCGCGGCUUGUGUGUUGGGCGUGGUCCCCCCUGAUUUUGGGGGGACCUGCCCGAAAGGCAGCGGCGACGUCCCGCCUAGGUCCUCGAGCGUAUGGGGCUUUGUCACGCGCUCGGGAGGGGCCUGCGGGCGUUGGUCAUCCCUAUUUCUUUUUGAC